CAACCCAUAUUAGGAACAAAAAUGCCAAACAUUUGAGCAUAUAUCUUAAUUCCGUGACGAAUUAACCCACUGCGGCUCAAGUGAUCGAUACAUCAUUCAAGGCUCGGCGUUUUUCAACGUUGAGAGGCUUAAGAAGUCAACUAGCUUUUAAUUAAGCUUUCCGGUUAUUUUUAAUCGCUUCCAACUGUAAAGGAAUGCGCAUUAUCAUCCAUUUAAAGCAGAAUUAGCUGCAAAUCCAUUUAUCAACUACCUCAUCGAUGAUCUUCAAUGGUCUCCAAUUGUAGUUAUAAAAAGUAUUCCUAAAAAGGCCAAAGAAAAUAUCAUUUUCAGCCUUAGAUUCACAGAAUCGUUAUAAAGUAUCCAGCACUUGGUAAUCACUACUGAAGACAACACAUGAUGCUUGACUGCAUUGUAGUCAAUUGUUUCAUUUCAGCCCUCUGUUUAUGACUGAUGGCCUUUUUUAAAACGAUUGAGGAGAUAUGAGCCCUAUUUCUAAAAGAAUUCUCGAAAAUCUACUGAUGAAUCUGUUACCAAACAUAGACUAUUGUAAAAUCUUACGUUCAAUCCAGCACAUCUCAAGACAGUCAAAAAAUCUCUGCUUGACUCCGAUCCCACAAAUACUUCCAAGGAACAGAUUUCCAAGGUGACGUAUUGGAACCAUGAAAUCGUCAUUUAAUAACCAGAAGUCCCGAAAGAUACCAUUCGGAAGCAAGCUGUUAUAAGCUCGCAAGACUCUUGCAGGUUCUCAACCAUCUCAAACGAACUUGCGAGGUUAUAAUCAAUCAGAAUGCUGCCUUGAUGAUAAAAACUGUAUUUACCAAUGCAAAAUAUAGAACACCUUUUAACACCGUUAGUUAUGUUCAUUUGAGCUGAAGAAGGCGUUGUAAUUAAAGCGCAAGGGAAAAUGCACAUUUUCUACAAAAUCUCCUCAAUUUUAGGAAAGGCCAUUUUAGCCGUACUGCACACUUGAGAAAACUGGCGAACAUUUUACUUUUAAUUGCCAUAACCUUCUUAGGAGUAAAUGUAAGGACUGAUUGCAAGUCCUCGAGAAUGUUAAGGGAAUGAAUUUCUGUGGCUACUUCGGCAAACCUUGAUUUAAAAGUGAAAAAACAGAGUGGACUUUCUGAGAUUUUAUUUGGGUUUCAAGUUUGAAAAUUUGUACUUAAACUGUAGUUUACCAGCGCUUAAUUAUAGAAACUAAAUUGCAGAACCUUAAAAACGUGUUACUCGAAACCACUGCGUGUCGCGAAUUUUCCUCUCAACUGUUGUUUAUGUUUAGAGCUAAAUAAAUAUUCGACUUUUGGUCACGUUUAAAAUGCGCAACUAUUUUAGAACAGACAACUGGAGAACUUGAAUAAAUUACGGUAUGUCCUGAUUCAA
rnacentral:lncRNA from 1 species